GUGAGGAAUAUUGCCCAAUGGACGCAAGUCUGAGGCAGCAACGCCGCGUGCGCGAUGAAGGCCUUCGGGUCGUAAAGCGCUUUUCUGGGGGAAGAGGAAGGACGGUACCUCAGGAAUAAGUCACGGCUAACUACGUGCCAGCAGCCGCGGUAAUACGUAGGUGGCAAGCGUUAUCCGGAUUUACUGGGCGUAAAGCGCGUGCAGGCGGUUUCGUAAGUCGGAUGUGAAAGCUCCUGGCUUAACUGGGAGAGUGCAUUCGAUACUGCGAGGCUUGAGGUCGGGAGAGGGACGUGGAAUUCCCGGUGUAGUGGUGGAAUGCGUAGAUAUCGGGAGGAACACCAGUGGCGAAGGCGGCGUCCUGGCCCGUACCUGACGCUGAGACGCGAAAGCGUGGGUAGCGAACGGGAUUAGAAACCCUAGUAGUCC
rnacentral:rRNA from 1 species